UUAGUCUAAGAAGUGUUUAUAUAAUUUACAAUGAAGCUGUUAUCUUUUUUGAGGGCUUCAUUUUAUAGUGGUAAAUAAUUUAGUAAAUUCGAAUUUGCGACUUAUCGGAUUUGAAAUUCAAUUGUAUUGGCGGACAAAAAAACGACGGGUUGACAGACAAAGUUGUAUAUUCCAAACAAAAGAAAAAGAUUGUGAAAAUUAUGAUAAUUCAACAUGUGUCAAAAGUUCAGGAGGAAGAUAAAAAUAUUUAGAGGAAAAGAAAAAGGAAAACCUACCAAGAUUUUGUGACAGAAAGUGUGAUGAGAUCUCAGGUUGGAGACGGUAAUGAUACGCUUAUAGUAUGCCCCAGUUCGACAUAGUGUAUGAGGACGAAAGAAGCUAGAAUACUAAUGAAGAUACAUGAACAUUGCUAUUUAUAGUUAUAACAAAAUAUUCAGAAUAUUAUUCCAUUUAACAUUCAGAUCUAGAUUCAGUUAUAAAAUACAAAGACAAAUAUACAAUCAGUGAGUUGGAUAGAUGAUUGAAAAAUCCCAAACUCAGAGUUGAUAUAAGAAAAAACACAUGCAUGGAUGUUUGCUAUAUAAAAUGUCAGUGUUAAUAUUCAAGAAGGAUUUAAAGGAUUUUGUUUAUCUUAUUUCUAAAACAUGCUUAAUUAAUACAUGAAGCGUUAUUAAAGUACAUACCGUCAAGUUUAAUAGUUUCAAAAAAUAUUAUGUAAAUCUUGCAUUUGUUAUAGUACCACAUUUCUUGUUUUGUAUUUGUGAUUCCGAGUAUAAAAUAGAUUGCUAAAAUCAUAAGAAUGCUUAUUUAUUAACCCUAUUAAAGAGCUUCAAAAUGAAAAAAAUCAUAUUCCAAAAGUUUUGAAUGAGGUUAAAUCAUGGUCAGAAAAUUUGGUCAGAUAAGGUUGGCAUAUUGUCAGAAAAUGGACAGAAAAGGUUGGAUUAUGGUCAGAAAAAGGUUGGAUUAUGUCCAAAUAAUGGUCAGAAAAGGUUGGAUUAUGGUCAGAUAAUAGUCAGAAAAGGUUGGAUUAUGGUCAGAAAAGGUUGGAUAAAGGUCAUUUAUGACGUUGUAUAGACGUCGGUUUCUGACGUCUAAAAAACUUUCAAAUCCAACCUUCUGCCAACGUUUACCCAACGUCAGGGUCUAACGUCAGUACAACGUUGGUACAACGUCUUUUGUUUGCUGGGUUGUUUUUCUUCUUUUUUCACUGAAAUGCUGUAUGUGUCCUUCAUCAAGUCAGACAAUUAUAUCAAAAUCCAAAAGAUGUGCCUUACAUGGGGCAUUUCUUUUGAACAACCUGCUAAAAAUGUUCUUGACAGGAAUUUAAAAUAUUUUUAAACUGUUAAUGUAUAAAAUUGUUAUGCAUAUGCAACAUUUAGUUUGAUUAACAUUUGUGAAAUGUAAUUUUUGACUACAAGAUAUUUACAACAAAAUAUAGUGUAAAUGAAAUAUACCUGGAAGUUACUUUUACUUUUCAUGAAGUUUAAACCAUUCAAAUACAAAUUAAAUCAGUACUUUGAAAUUAAAAAAAAAUCAUAAAUUAAUGGAUUAUUGUAACAUUGUUGGAUUUGAUAAAGCAAGUCAGUAAAAAGUAUUGUUUUAUUCAGCAUUCCAAUGUGUCGUCUGCCUCCCUGAAAUAUACAUCGUCUGCUACAAAUCUCUCUCCCUGAAAUAAACACUGCCACGUGCUUCUGUUUACUACUGAAGGUUCAUGACCUGUAAUUAUCACAUGGCUCCUCCCAGGGAAAUUCAAACUUCAAAUUUGACAGCCAGUAUUUUUUUCCAGAAAUACAAAGUUAUAUUUUGAAUAAUUUUGGUCAAUCUUUAUCAAAAAUAUCUAUGCCUACAAACAUGCCAAGUGUUGUUUUAAUGCAUUUGGUAAUUAAUCUUAAAUCUUUGAAAAAGGGUCCCUGAAGUGAAACAUGCAUAAAAUUAAUAAGAAACCUGCCCUAGCACCAUCUGCUGGCUUUUAUAGUACAGUUCAAUCUGAUUAUACAGAUUGCAAACAAAACCAUAGUUGCAGAUAGCACAUGUAUAUUACUAUAAAAACUGUAACAAUAGGAUGAAUUUAUGACUUGCUCAUCACGAGCUGUUAUGUGUAUCACGUGUACCGAAAACUAACAGUUUUAGGGCAAUAAAAUUGGUAGCAUUUCUGAUGCAUAAUUAGCCUUUAUCUUAUUGCAGAGUAUAUGUAUUCAUGCAUAUAUGUCUAGAUUAAAUUUUAAGGAACUCUGAAGUUCUAUUUUUUAAAAUGUUAUAAUUUACUCAGUAUACAAAUCAAGUCGCUGUGAGAUAAAUAACAACUGAAACAAACAUUAAAUGAAUUAAGUGUCACUGAUAGUUAAACAUAUUUUCUAUCAAAGAGUUUCUUAUAUAUAUCAAACUAUUAGUAAGAAGAAAUACUGAUAUUUCAACAAGAAAUUAGAUUUAUAUUUCUUUAAGUAGCCAAAGUUAAGCAUUUUGAAAAUAGUGGAAACUUUCUCUCUAUUCAGGUUGUUUAGAGUGCAUCUUGUCUAUUCAGGGAAAUGAUGACUUUAGACUAUAAUAAGGUCAUUCAUUCGCGGGCGAUAAAAACUCUAAUAUUGUAAUCAGCUGGAAACAUAUGAGCACGCGUUUUCCUUGCAAACAACAUGCAGUUCCGCACAGUGAUAC